UGGAAACCCUCCAGCCAUACAUCCCAUCGC
rnacentral:sRNA from 1 species